GAUGAACGCUGGCGGCGCGCCUAACACAUGCAAGUCGAACGAUUAAAGCACCUUCGGGUGUGUAUAAAGUGGCGAACGGCUGAGUAACACGUGGGCAACCUGCCCCUUUCAUUGGGAUAGCCACGGGAAACCGUGGAUAAUACCGAAUACUUCGAGACUUCCGCAUGGAAGACUCGAGAAAGCUCCGGCGGGGGGGGAUGGGCCCGCGGCCUGUUAGCUUGUUGGUGGGGUAACGGCCUACCAAGGCAAUGAUGGGUAGCUGGGUUGAGAGACCGACCAGCCAGAUUGGGACUGUGACACGGCCCAGACUCCUACGGGAGGCAGCAGUGGGGAAUCUUGCACAAUGGGCGAAAGCCUGAUGCAGCGACGCCGCGUGCGGGAUGAAGGCCUUCGGGUUGUAAACCGCUUUCAGCAGGGACGAGGCGAAAGUGACGGUACCUGCAGAAGAAGCCCCGGCUAACUACGUG
rnacentral:rRNA from 1 species